GAUCACAGCACUUCAGCAAUUCACCAUGAGUUCCACCGGCCACAAGCAUUAUCAUGAUAAGAAUUACCCGGCAAAAAGAUUUGUUGAAGUUUACUUUUCUGAUGAUCGUUUCCCAUUAAUAGAUGAAAACACGGAGUUUCCAAUGGAACACAUUCAUAAAGACAUUGAUUCAGGUCUGUAAAAUGUACUAUUUAUUAACAUGUGUAAGAGCUCUCAUUUUUUACAUUGAUUCUAUGGAAUGAAAUAUGCAAUAGAAAACUGUCUUUUUUUUCUGCAUAUCAAUUACUUUCAGAAUGGCUUUAACCCCUUAAGGACCAAACUUCUGGAAUAAAAGGGAAUCAUGACAUGUCACACAUGUCAUGUGUCCUUAAGGGGUUAAUCAAAUUAGUGAAGUAUCAGUUGGAUCAGUUUAAAUACACCCACAGUAGUGAGUAUUGAGUACUUAAUUCAUUAAUUUCAAUUCAGAUUUCCUAAUUCAUCACAGAAUACUAACAUUCAAUGUGGAGAGACAGUGACAUUGUAAAAGACAGAUGUGUGUGAAGUGGUUAGAUGUAUGGACACCUAAAAGAAAAAUGUUUAUAGGAAAGACUUCAAGGGAAAUCCAUCUGGGGUGAGAAACUUAAAAGAGGUGUCUAUUGCAAUCAGACCCUUCACUUCCUUGCACUUUUUUCUUGAAGAAAAGAAAUUAGCAUAACAUUUGAAACAAACGAUACAUAACUAGCACAUAAAUGUAUAAUUGAUGUCUGAUAGCAUAAAAGCAAAAAUACAAUUCUCAAAUAUAAGAGGUGAGACAAAAAUAUAUGAAUAAAUAUGGUCAAGCGGAGCCUGAUACCGUUACUAGCUUUAGAUACUGAAAAUUACAAGAGAAUGUAAAUAGAAUGUCUGUCUUUCAAUAUAAUAUCCAAAUAUAGUAUACAGUUCUAAAUCCUAUAUUUCUAAUAUAUGAGUAUACAACCAGUGAAGGCUCCAACAUUGAUGUUUGCAUCUAUUUAUAAUAUAUAAGUUUUGGCCUGUUUGUACAUAUUGCCCUAUGAGUAUCUGCAUCCUGCCUCUUGGAGGGAGUUGGACCAUAUCAUUACUAAGAAGAAUUUUAUACCAGUAUAUACUGACACUUAGUGAUUCUCUAUACCAUCACAGUGUAGAUCAGUAACCAUAACCAGGUUAAGGAGGCUAUAGAAAAAAAAACUGAAAUCAAAUAUAAGAAUUGAUUAUUAUCCCUUCCUUUCUAUUGCAAAUCAAUAUAACAUUUUCGAUUUUCUAUUUAUUAUUUUUUUUUUUUUAUUGUUAUUAUUAUUAUUUUUUAUUUUAUUUUUUAUAUAUUUCACUGAUGUCCUGGAAGACAGUUUGUGCCUUUGGGAAAUCACUGAGAUAGAUUAGGGUAUUUUUUUUUAACUGUUUGCCUGCUGGCUUCUAGUGCUUUUUGGUGGUGAAAUGUCAAGGCCAUUUGUCCCGAAUGAUGUCCAAUAUCCCUGGACAUAAUUGAAAACAAGAAUAAUCUCAAUGUAUUCUUCCUGGUAAAAUAUUUUCUAAAUAAAUAAAUAAAAUGAUUUCAAUUAAUUUCAAUGCUAUUAUCGAUUCUCGUUACGUUUGAAAAUCUAUAUUAUUAAAAAUUGUAUUUCUGAGAAGGCACUGGCCGCACAGGUGAUACUGGCGGCUAGAGCUCUCAUAGCGCUCAAUUGGAAAUUAACCAUUUGCCCGUCUGAAAAGAACCACAUGGACAAAAUCCGACUAAAUUAUGUGUAUGAUAUCUCUUCUGCGAUAGCUCCCAACCAAAAACAUAAAAUAGCUAAAACCUGGGAACCUUGGUGUCGCCACUAUCAAUUCCAGCCUCCAUAAAACCAUCACCCGGCCUAAGACCCGGAUCAUACAUACACCUGUUAAUAACAAUAAUAUAAAAAAAAAAUGGAUUUUAGUGCAGGGAACUCCGCGGUUCCCCCCCCCCCGGGCCUCCACCACCGCCUAAGGAGACAGCCAUAAGAGCCCAGAUAGAGGCUGGAUAGCUAACAGAUUGUGUUUUCCCUCAUGUUAAACUUUUCUUGGUUAUAACUAUAUUAUACCUUAUUUUUUCGGUUUCACUUUUUGUUCAGGGAGGUUCAGGCUGAGCAUCGCCUUGACACUUGAGCAAUACCUCACAGAAUACCACACUUCUCGGGGAUACAUGGGAGGCAUUAACAGUGUAUGCAGGGAGCCCCGUCCAGUAGAGGGACAGUAAGACCCUGAACGCAAGAGGUCCAAACCUUGAGCCUCCUUGAACUCCCCCCCCCCCCGAACACCCUACAAGGUUAAGGUAUGCGACAUAUAAGCAAAUCGCACAACAACUAGGCUCGAAAUAACUAGAGCAUCGCCCUGAGUGCACGCAAGAGGCUGAUAGCUACAUGGCCUCAUCGACGAGAUACAACUGGAGGUUGAACAGUGGGGUAUAGGUAGUGCCCGUUCUGACUUGGGUUGAGCAGCGACUACUUUACGCCCAAACAACUGCGCUCCUAGAUAGGUGGGGAUUAACAUGAAAUGUGAAUGUCAUUGUGAUGUAUCAGAUUCUCUGUAUUGUAACCCUGAACUCCUUACCCUACCCUUUUUUUCUUCUGCACCCCCACCCUUCUCUCUUUUGCGAUUGAAAAAUAAUAAACUCAAUUAAUAAAAAAAAAAAAAAAUUGUAUUUCUCAGCUUUGGAGAAGCCAUUAAUGGUGGUAAUGCAGUUGAUUUAAAUGAAUAAAAGGAUUAUCAGGAGCUAACAGCCUGAACUGAACUAGUUUGUGAUGUCAACUUCUACACCUUUAAAUAACAUUUUAAACAAAACACAAUAUCCAUAUGAAAAAAUAAUAGCACAAAUUCCAGAGAGAUGACAGCUACCUAUUAAUGCAAAUCAGAUCGCUGUAAGAUUUUGAACAGUUUCAUCAUCACCAUUUCAGUCAUAUAACCAUAUCUGAGUUGCAAGAGGCAUUGUAUAGAAUGUUCAUAAACAGCCCUUCCCUUUUAUCAUCUACAGGAGUCGUGAAGGGAGAAACAUUGAUUGAUUUCAGUAUUGGAGCC